AUUGAACGCUGGCGGCAGGCCUAACACAUGCAAGUCGAGCGGAUGAAGGGAGCUUGCUCCUGGAUUCAGCGGCGGACGGGUGAGUAAUGCCUAGGAAUCUGCCUGGUAGUGGGGGAUAACGUCCGGAAACGGGCGCUAAUACCGCAUACGUCCUGAGGGAGAAAGUGGGGGAUCUUCGGACCUCACGCUAUCAGAUGAGCCUAGGUCGGAUUAGCUAGUUGGUGGGGUAAAGGCCUACCAAGGCGACGUUCCGUAACUGGUCUGAGAGGAUGAUCAGUCACACUGGAACUGAGACACGGUCCAGACUCCUACGGGAGGCAGCAGUGGGGAAUAUUGGACAAAGGGCGAAAGCCUGAUCCAGCCAUGCCGCGUGUGUGAAGAAGGUCUUCGGAUUGUAAAGCACUUUAAGUUGGGAGGAAGGGCAGUAAGUUAAUACCUUGCUGUUUUGACGUUACCAACAGAAUAAGCACCGGCUAACUUCGUG
rnacentral:rRNA from 1 species